rnacentral:misc_RNA from 1 species
GACGGAGGGCGCAAGCGUUGUUCGGAAUUACUGGGCGUAAAGCGCGCGCAGGCGGACGUGGCAAGUCGGGAGUGAAAGUUCGGGGCUCAACCCCGGGAUUGCUUCCGAUACUGCUCGUCUAGGGACCGGUAGAGGCCGGUGGAAUUCCCGGUGUAGCGGUGGAAUGCGUAGAUAUCGGGAAGAACACCAGUGGCGAAGGCGGCCGGCUGGGCCGGGUCCGACGCUCAGGCGCGAAAGCGUGGGGAGCAAACAGG